rnacentral:rRNA from 1 species
AUGAACGCUGGCGGCGUGCUUAACACAUGCAAGUCGAACGAAGCACUUUAUUUGAUAUCCUUCGGGACUGAUUAUUUUGUGACUGAGUGGCGGACGGGUGAGUAACGCGUGGGUAACCUGCCUUGUACAGGGGGAUAACAGUUGGAAACGGCUGCUAAUACCGCAUAAGCGCACAGCAUCGCAUGAUGCAGUGUGAAAAACUCCGGUGGUAUAAGAUGGACCCGCGUUGGAUUAGCUAGUUGGUGAGGUAACGGCCCACCAAGGCGACGAUCCAUAGCCGACCUGAGAGGGUGACCGGCCACAUUGGGACUGAGACACGGCCCAAACUCCUACGGGAGGCAGCAGUGGGGAAUAUUGCACAAUGGGCGAAAGCCUGAUGCAGCGACGCCGCGUGAGCGAAGAAGUAUUUCGGUAUGUAAAGCUCUAUCAGCAGGGAAGAUAAUGACGGUACCUGACUAAGAAGCACCGGCUAAAUACGUG